GACGAACGCUGGCGGCGUGCUUAAUACAUGCAAGUCGAACGGAAAGGCCCUGCUCUUGUUGGUUGCUCGUUUGGCGAACGGGUGAGUAUCACGUGUGUAACCUGUCCCUGUCUUUGUGAUAACUUCUCGAAACUCCGGCUAUUAUCGCAUAUGAUCUCCUGCUGCAUGUUGGGCGUUGGAAAGUUUCGGCGGUUGGGGAUGUACUCGCGGCUUAUCCGCUUGUUGGUGGGGUAGUGGCUUACCAAGGCUUUGACGGGUAGCCGGCCUGAGAGGGUGACCGGCCACAUUGGGACUGAGAUACGGACCAGACUCCAACGGGAGGCAGCAGGGGGGAAUAUUGCACAAUGGGCGGAAGCCUGAGGCAGAAACGCCGCGUGCGGGAUAACGGCCUUCGGGUUGUAAACCGAUUUCGAAGGUGACGAAGAGUGAGUGACGGUAAUGGGUAAAGAAGCACCGGCUAACUACGUG
rnacentral:rRNA from 1 species